AUGAACGCUAGCGACAGGCCUAACACAUGCAAGUCAGGGGCAGCACAAGGAGCAAUCUGAGGUGGCGACCAGCGCACGGGUGAGUAACACGUAUGCAACCUGCCUGUAAGCGGGGAAUAACCCGUUGAAAGACGGACUAAUACCGCAUAAUACUAAAUUACUGCAUGGUAAUUUAUUUAAACAUUUAUGGCUUACAGAUGGGCAUGCGCAUGAUUAGCUAGUUGGAGAGGUAACGGCUCCCCAAGGCAACGAUCAUUAGGGGUUCUGAGAGGAAGGUCCCCCCACACUGGUACUGAGACACGGACCAGACUCCUACGGGAGGCAGCAGUGAGGAAUAUUGGUCAAUGGACGAGAGUCUGAACCAGCCAAGUCGCGUGCAGGAAGAAUGUCCUAUGGAUUGUAAACUGCUUUUGCAGGGGAAUAAAGUGCAUCACGUGUGAUGUUUUGUAUGUACUCUGCGAAUAAGGAUCGGCUAACUCCGUGCCAGCCGCCGC
rnacentral:rRNA from 1 species